AUUGAACGCUGGCGGCGUGCUUAACACAUGCAAGUCGUGCGGUAACAGGCGUAGCAAUACGUGCUGACGAGCGGCGAACGGGUGCGUAAUACAUGGGAAUCUGCCUUUUAGUGGGGAAUAACCCGGCGAAAGCCGGGCUAAUGCCGCAUAAGAUCUUCGGAUGAAAGCGGGGGAUCGUAAGACCUCGCGCUGAUAGAUAGACGCCA
rnacentral:rRNA from 1 species